ACAGACAGAGAAUCUGCCUAGAGAUGGCCCAUCCGUAAUAGUUAAACCACACAAAAUUGUAUUGUAAAUGAGAGUAUACCAGAGUCCUAUGUACACCAUAGUAAUUUAUUGAUAUGCCGCAUAAUGUCCUACUUUUUGG